AGUGGCCGGCUGAAAGUCUGCUCAAUUCGGGAAUUGAGCAUCCGCGUGAGUCGCUCGGUCCAGUAGGAACGUGCGCUGGUGCUUUAGAUUUGGCGUCCCUUUUGGCCCGCAGCUGGAAACAGAGCAAGCUGUCCGUGUUCGUUCGCUUGCAGAAAGGCACGCG
rnacentral:SRP_RNA from 13 species